UACGUAGGGGGCAAGCGUUGUCCGGAAUCAUUGGGCGUAAAGAGCGUGUAGGCGGCUCGAUAAGUCUGCUGUGAAAGUCCAGGGCUCAACCCUGGAAGGCCGGUGGAAACUGUCGGGCUAGAGUCCGGAAGAGGCGAGUGGAAUUCCCGGUGUAGCGGUGAAAUGCGCAGAUAUCGGGAGGAACACCAAUGGCGAAGGCAGCUCGCUGGGACGUUACUGACGCUGAGGUGCGAAAGCGUGGGGAGCAAACAGG
rnacentral:rRNA from 1 species